GCAUCAGAUUGCAUUGUUUGAUUUGGGAGAGAACUUAUGUCUAUUGGGCUCUCUUUUGCACCAGAAGUACUAAUCUUCUCGGGCUGAGGCUGCUCUGAAUUAUCUCCUACUAAAGAAGAGGUUAGAUGGUGUUCCUGAAACUUAAAGUCAUCUGCAUCAUGAGUUACCAGAUUCUCUUCACUUUCAGAUGGCAGAAUAGUUUCCUGUGUAUUGGACUUCGAAUCUGCCGACUCACAAAAACCUUCGGAUGGAACUGCAGCUUCCAAUUUAGUGGCCAGAUUCCCACUCUUCUCUCUAUCUAAUUGCUGCUCAGUUGAUAACUCUAGUUGUGGUGUUGGUUCAGCUGAUGAAAUGGACAUCCACCUCUCCAACCAGUUCCAAGCAGAAUUUGGUUUUGAAGAAUCACACUUGAUGUGG
rnacentral:misc_RNA from 1 species